rnacentral:lncRNA from 1 species
GCUAGAGCAAGAAUUAUGAAAACCCUGACAUCUGCAGAGGCUGCACCGCAGUAAAUGCUGAACGGCCACUUCGGAUUAACCAUGCAGCUUAGUGUGCAGUGGACAUGGAUGAGUGAUGCAGUGAGCUCCGAAUCACACAGAAAAUACCAGAACCCAGUGAUGGCAGAGAUAAUGGAAGCGAAUCAUACAGCUGGACCAUGCCUCAGGACUACCUGGCUUGAUGACUCCUUGCUGUCCCCAGUUCACCUGGCCGUGCUGCUGCUCCAUUUCCAACUGUUCUGCCUGCAGCUAUGGAACCCUGAACUAUUCACUGGAUGUGCUACCUGUCCCAGACCUGCUGUUUUCAACUCUCUAGAGACAGCAGGAGCGGUAGAGAUACUCUCAAAGAUCGGCUAUGAAAAAGCCAACUGACACUUACUCUUGUGUCACUGACUUGUUGCACCCUCGACAACUACUAUGAUUAUUAUUAUUUGACCAUGCUGGUCAUUUAUGAACAUUUGAACAUCUAGGCUAUGUGCUGUUAUAAUCUCCACCCGGCACAGCCAGAAGAGGACUGGCCACCCCUCAUAGCCUGGUUCCUCUCUAGGUUUCUUCCUGGGUUUUGGCCUUUCUAGGGAGUUUUUCCUAGCCACCGUGCUUCUACACCUGCAUUGCUUGCUGUUUGGGGUUUUAGGCUGGGUUUCUGUACAGCGCUUUGAGAUAUCAGCUGAUGUAAGAAGGGCU